UCCCUUGUAGCUCAGUUGGAAAAGAAUCUGCCUGAAAUGCAGGAGACCAGGUUCGAUUCCUGGGUUGGGAA
rnacentral:tRNA from 1 species